GAACGGUGUUCUCGUCGAGAGCCUCGAGGACCUGCACGGUGACCUCGUCCGAGGAGGAAGCAACAGGGAAUCCAGGAAUGGCACCAGGCAAUGGAAAGCCCGCUGGCACGUUGUGCUCCAUACCUAGAUUUCACGAAUAAAGGGACUCGAGACCAUGUGGAACAACGAAGAAACGAAACUUAAUG